ACCAGGCUUGGAGACCCACUACUCCCCCGUGUACCCAGAGAACACCUCAGCCUUGCCAGUUCCUUCUCAGCACAAAACAGCCAAUGUUUCCAGUACUCACUGAUUGAUCUUUAGGAGUCCAUGGCCAUCAAAGAAACCAGAUCCACCUCUCCUGGUUACCAAGAGUAGGAGCAGUUCCCCAGGAGAGGUUUUGGGGGAGAGCACCUUGUGCCCCUUCUGCAGCUCACCACUUGCAAGGUGAAAGGGACAUUUUUGCCUUGUGGAGUCUACUGGUGGAUAAUACUAAUCCUUGAAGAGCCAAAGAAAUUUGACUUUACAUAGGCACCCUCAGGAAUUGUGAAUUGCUUUUUGGCUCCAGAGGCUGCUCUCCGGGAAGGUGUCAGGGUGUAAGUGUGUGAUCUG